UCUUAUCCAGAGUGGUGGAGGGAAGUGCCCAAGGAAGCCACAGCAACCGUCUAAAUAGACAAGGUGCUAAUUCACUGAAUGAUCAAGAUCAUUCGAAGAUGAG
rnacentral:ncRNA from 1 species